GAUGAACGCUGGCGGCGUGCCUAAUACAUGCAAGUCGAGCGAACAGACGAGGAGCUUGCUCCUCUGACGUUAGCGGCGGACGGGUGAGUAACACGUGGAUAACCUACCUAUAAGACUGGGAUAACUUCGGGAAACCGGAGCUAAUACCGGAUAAUAUAUUGAACCGCAUGGUUCAAUAGUGAAAGACGGUUUUGCUGUCACUUAUAGAUGGAUCCGCGCCGCAUUAGCUAGGUGGUAAGGUAACGGCUUACCAAGGCAACGAUGCGUAGCCGACCUGAGAGGGGGAUCGGCCACACUGGAACUGAGACACGGUCCAGACUCCUACGGGAGGCAGCAGUAGGGAAUCUUCCGCAAUGGGCGAAAGCCUGACGGAGCAACGCCGCGUGAGUGAUGAAGGUCUUCGGAUCGUAAAACUCUGUUAUUAGGGAAGAACAAAUGUGUAAGUAACUAUGCACGUCUUGACGGUACCUAAUCAGAAAGCCACGGCUAACUACGUG
rnacentral:rRNA from 1 species